CGGACGGAAAGGGAGAGCAGCAGCGGACGGGUGGAGUAAAGCACAAGGACUUGUCCCGAAGACGGGGGACAACUGUGGGAAACCACAGCUAAUACCCCAUAAGCCGAGAAGGUGAAAGCAGCGAUGCGCUUUAGGAGAGACUUGUGUCCUAUCAGGGUAGUUGGUGAGGUAACGGCUCACCAAGCCGAAGACGGGUAGCCGGACUGAGAGGUUGUACGGCCACAUUGGAGCUGAGAGACGGUCCAGACUCCUACGGGAGGCAGCAGUGGGGAAUAUUGGGCAAUGGGGGCGAACCCCUUGACCCAGCGACGCCGCGUGAGGGAAGACAGCCUUCGGGUUGUAAACCUCUGUUGCAGGGGAAGAAGAAAGUGACCGGUACCCUGCGAGGAAGCUCCGGCAAACUACGUGCCAGCCGCCGC
rnacentral:rRNA from 1 species